rnacentral:rRNA from 1 species
GAUGAACGCUGGCGGCGUGCCUAAUACAUGCAAGUCGAGCGAACAGACGAGGAGCUUGCUCCUCUGACGUUAGCGGCGGACGGGUGAGUAACACGUGGAUAACCUACCUAUAAGACUGGGAUAACUUCGGGAAACCGGAGCUAAUACCGGAUAAUAUAUUGAACCGCAUGGUUCAAUAGUGAAAGACGGUUUUGCUGUCACUUAUAGAUGGAUCCGCGCCGCAUUAGCUAGUUGGUAAGGUAACGGCUUACCAAGGCAACGAUUCGUAGCCGACCUGAGAGAGUGAUCGGAAACACGGGAACUGAGACACGGUCCAGACUACUACGGGAGGCAGCAGUAGGGAAUCUUACGCAAUGGGCGAAAGCUUGACGGAGAAACGCCGCGUGAGUGAUGAAGGUAUUCGGAUUGUAAAACUCUGUUAUUAGGGAAGAACAAAUGUGUAAGUAACUAUGCACGUCUUGACGGUACAUAAUCAGAAAACCACGGAUAAAUACGUG